UCCGGUUUAACACCGGCAGUCUCCCUAGAGUCCCCAACUUAAUGCUGGUAACUAAGGACAGGGGUUGCGCUCGUUGCCGGACUUAACCGAACAUUUCACAACACGAGCUGACGACAGCCAUGCAGCACCUGUCUACGAGUCCCCGAAGGGAAGGCCGCAUCUCUGCGGAUAUCUCGCGAUGUCAAGACCAGGUAAGGUUCUGCGCGUUGCUUCGAAUUAAACCACAUACUCCACCGCUUGUGCGGGCCCCCGUCAAUUCCUUUGAGUUUUAGUCUUGCGACCGUACUUCCCAGGCGGGACACUUAAUGCGUUAGCUGCGCCACCUAAACGCUAAGCGCCCAGACAGCUAGUCAUCAUCGUUUACGGCGUGGACUAC
rnacentral:misc_RNA from 1 species